rnacentral:rRNA from 1 species
CCUACGGGCGGCAGCAGUGAGGAAUAUUGGUCAAUGGCCGGAAGGCUGAACCAGCCAUGCCGCGUGAAGGUCAGUGCCCUAUGGGCGUUAAACUUCUUUUGUGCGGGAGCAAUAAUGGUCACGUGUGGCCAGACGAGAGUACCGUACGAAUAAGCAUCGGCUAACUCCGUGCCAGCAGCCGCGGUAAUACGGGGGAUGCAAGCGUUAUCCGGAUUUAUUGGGGUUAAAGGGUGCGUAGGCUGUGAGGUAAGUCAGCGGUGAAAUGCCCCCGCGCAACGGGGUGAAGUGCCAUUGAUACUGCCUUGCUGGAAAGCGGAUGCCGUGGGAGGAAUGUGUGGUGUAGCGGUGAAAUGCAUAGAUAUCACACAGAACACCGAUUGCGAAGGCAUCUCACGAAUCUGCGAUUGACGCUGAUGCACGAAAGCGUGGGUAUCAAACAGGAUUAGAUACCCCAGUAGUC